ensembl:lncRNA
AUUUUAUUGUAUUAUUUUUAGAAUUAAUUCCAUAGAGUAAAUGCGUAUAAUAUAAGAUUUUUCAUCCUUAUUCAGAUGAAUUUGAUUAAAUGCAUAUAUAGACUUUCCUUUAGACAUGGAGAGUAAGCUGCUGCUUUUGGUGGUUUGUGUGAUUGGUUGUGCAGUGUCGUGCAUUAAGGCUGAUGGGCACCUAACAACGCCAACAAAUUUUACUGUGAGAAUACCAUUAAAGCCUUUCCACUAUUAUUUGGUCCAAGGAACCAUUACUUCACUUUCAAACAACAUUGAACAAAAAGGUAAUUUGUUUAGAAUCCACAUCAAAAUCAGUUCCUAGCGAGCCACUGUUAUGCAGAGUUUAGCUCCAACACACCUGCUAGGAAAUUUUAGCACUCCUUGAUUAGCUGGGUCAGGUGUGUUUAAUUAGGGUUGUUGCUAAGCUCUACAGGUCUGGAGUUAGGUUUGUCCAAAAUCACCCACAGUGAGUGUGGAAGAACCAAACUGUGUUUGGACAACCCUUAAGGAUGUGAGCCUUCAGGCAGCUCUCAGUGUUUCUUCACCUCAGUACAGAUUAUCUUAAGUAGGUCUACCUUCAAUCUGAUGGUUGAGCUCUGUGGCAACUCCAUCGGUUACAUCGCUUUAGCAGAUGGAGUGACAUCUAGUGUGGCUCAGGGAAGGUUAAGAUCAUCAUCCAGUUACUUCUUUGACCUUUUCAGACAGAAUUGUGUGUGAAAAAAAUCAUGUCUUCAUUAUUCCAACCCAAUCUCAUGAGUAAAACUGCGAAGACAUGAGGAACAAGGAACGAGAAAGCUUCCAGAGAAAGAAGAUAUGCAAUUGUAUACUAUGUGGAAGUGUUGUCACUAUGUCACUGUCACUAUGUUUUACCAUUGCAAUUUAAAUAAAACAAAUAAUUCACAAAUUUCAAC